CCUUGUGCAUGUGUGUAUUACUAGUAGCUAUAGCUAGUAAUUGUGUUUGCUUCUGCAGCUGUUUAAACUGUUGUUUAACUGUUGAUAGUUUUCUUGUGAAUAAAAAGGAUAGAUAUAUGUUUUAGCCAAAAUUUGCCAAAGGGGGAGUUUGUUGGUUCUAAGUGUUGGCAACAAUUUUGGUUAAACAAAGAGUGUUCACAAGAUAUUGUGUGUGAUGUCUU
rnacentral:lncRNA from 1 species